AUGAAUGGCCAAUACACACAAUAGAUUGAUUGGAAAGGUGAUUUCCCACAGUCAAAGUCCUGCAAUAAGAGCUAAGACAGAUGUUAUGGAUGUUAAACUGGUGCAAAACCCUUGUGUCCUGAUUCAACAGACACCUACCUCGACUGCCAAGCUGUCCUCAAUUGGGGAAACCUCUGUCAGGGACAAUGUCCUCAGGAUUAUGGAGUGUGUGUUUCUAAAAGGUUGU